UCCUACGGGGGGCAGCAGUGGGGAAUAUUGCGCAAUGGGGGCAACCCUGACGCAGCAACGCCGCGUGAUUGAAGAAGGCCUUCGGGUUGUAAAGAUCUUUAAUCGGGGACGAAUUUUGACGGUACCCGAAGAAUAAGCUCCGGCUAACUACGUGCCAGCAGCCGCGGUAAUACGUAGGGAGCAAGCGUUAUCCGGAUUUAUUGGGUUUAAAGGGUGCGUAGGCGGAAUGCCAAGUCAGCGGUAAAAUCGCGGGGCUCAACCUCGCUCCGCCGUUGAAACUGGCGUUCUUGAGUGGGCGAGAAGUA
rnacentral:rRNA from 1 species